GCUACCAUAGCUCAGUGGCAGAGUACUGAUCUUGUAAAUCCAGGGUCGUGAGUUCAAUCCUCACUGGUGGCU